rnacentral:rRNA from 1 species
UACGUAGGUCCCGAGCGUUGUCCGGAUUUAUUGGGCGUAAAGCGAGCGCAGGUGGUUUAUUAAGUCUGGUGUAAAAGGCAGUGGCUCAACCAUUGUGUGCAUUGGAAACUGUUAGACUUGAGUGCAGUAGAGGAGAGUGGAAUUCCAUGUGUAGCGGUGAAAUGCGUAGAUAUAUGGAGGAACACCGGUGGCGAAAGCGGCUCUCUGGACUGUCACUGACACUGAGGCUCGAAAGCGUGGGUAGCAAACAGG